rnacentral:ncRNA from 1 species
GUGGUUGCUCCCGCCUGGGAGCUGAAAAGGGAAUCGGGUGAGAAUCCCGAGCGGUCCCGCCACUGUAACCGGUGAGUUCUUGCCAGAUCCACUGGGUGUCUUAACCUGGGAAGGGGCAAGGACAGCGAUGAACCGGAAGCCAGGAGACCUGCCAUCUGC